CAGUAGCCGCGGUAAUACGAAGGGUGCAAGCGUUAAUCGGAAUUACUGGGCGUAAAGCGUGCGUAGGCGGUGAGUUAAGUCUGCUGUGAAAUCCCCGGGCUCAACCUGGGAAUGGCAGUGGAUACUGGCUCGCUAGAGUGUGUCAGAGGACGGUGGAAUUCCCGGUGUAGCGGUGAAAUGCGUAGAGAUCGGAAGGAACAUCUGUGGCGAAGGCGACUAUCUGGGCCAACACUGACACUGAGGCACGAAAGCGUGGGGAGCAAACAGGAUUAGAUACCCCUGUAGUCCCUGUCUCUUAUAC
rnacentral:rRNA from 1 species